rnacentral:rRNA from 1 species
UAAGGAAUAUUGGUCAAUGGGGGCAACCCUGAACCAGCCAUGCCGCGUGCAGGAUGACUGCCCUACGGGUUGUAAACUGCUUUUAUCGGGGAAUAACCCCUUCUACGUGUAGGAGGCUGAAUGUACCCGAAGAAUAAGGAUCGGCUAACUCCGUGCCAGCAGCCGCGGUAAUACGGAGGAUCCAAGCGUUAUCCGGAUUUAUUGGGUUUAAAGGGUGCGUAGGCGGCGCUUUAAGUCAGGGGUGAAAUACGGCAGCUUAACUGUCGCAGUGCCUUUGAUACUGAAGUGCUUGAAUGCGGUUGAAGACGGCGGAAUGAGACAAGUAGCGGUGAAAUGCAUAGAUAUGUCUCAGAACACCAAUUGCGAAGGCAGCUGUCUAAGCCGAUAUUGACGCUGAUGCACGAAAGCGUGGGGAUCGAACAGG